UACGUAGGGGGCAAGCGUUGUCCGGAUUUAUUGGGCGUAAAGAGCUCGUAGGUGGUUCGGUAAGUCGGAUGUGAAAUCUCCAGGCUCAACCUGGAGGGGUCAUUCGGAUACUGCCGUGACUAGAGGUCGGUAGGGGAGUGUGGAAUUCCUGGUGGAGCGGUGAAAUGACGCAGAUAUCAGGAGGAACACCCGUAGCGAAGGCGGCACUCUGGGCCGAUACUGACACUGAGGAGCGAAAGCGUGGGGAGCGAACAGG
rnacentral:rRNA from 1 species